rnacentral:tRNA from 1 species
GCCGGAGUAGCUCAGCUGGUAGAGCGCACGCCUUGUAAGCGUGGGGCCGCGGGUUCGAGUCCCGCCUCCGGCU